rnacentral:misc_RNA from 1 species
GCUUCUUGAAGGGACGGACCUGAUCCAGCUAGUAGAACAGAAAUGGAAUUGCCAUCUUCCAAAGCCCUUGCAGCCUCUAUUGCACUCACAGAUGAACCCUUUUUACAGCACCACCUUCAUGCUCGGCCACAACCAAUGUGCUCGCUGAUCUUGAAGUGAAGAUUAAAGAGGAAAAUCGAGGGAGAGUGGUGGUUUUGAAAGCUCUAAGAAUUGCCAUUUUCUUCUGUGAUCGAACUGUUUUUUCUCCCUGUGG